rfam:Vibrio sp. AND4 1103602000591, whole genome shotgun sequence.
CUUGGCGACCAUAGCGAUUUGGACCCACCUGAUUUCCAUUCCGAACUCAGAAGUGAAACGAAUUAGCGUCGAUGGUAGUGUGGGGCUUCCCCAUG